rnacentral:tRNA from 1 species
GCCCACGAAGUGGAUCACGCCAAAAUGCAAGUUUGGAAACGCACCCCAAUCACGGUGCCGGGGCUUCUCCCGUUUUAAGAGAGACGGGAGAAGA